CUACGUAGCCUAAACCUGGAGACUUAGAAAGAGGGUUGAACCUAAAUUGAGCAUGACACAUAAA
rnacentral:lncRNA from 1 species